rnacentral:lncRNA from 10 species
CUGCUGUCUUGCAGUUUGAUCUCAGACUGCUGUGCUAGCAAUCAGCGAGACUCCGUGGUUGUAGGACCCUCCGAGCCAGGUGCCGGAUAUAAUCUCGUGGUGCGCCGUUUUUUAAGCCAGUCGGAAAAGCGCAGUAUUCGGGUGGGAGUGGCCUGAUUUUCCAGGUGUUGUCUGUCACCCCUUUCUCUGACUAGGAAAGGGAACUCCCUGACCCCUUGCUCUUCCCGAGUGAGGCAAUGCCUCGCCCUGCUUCAGCUCGCGCACGGUGCGCGCACCCACUGACCUGCGCCCACUGUCUGGCACUCCCUAGUGAGAUGAACCCGGUACCUCAGAUGGAAAUGCAGAAAUCACCCGUCUUCUGCGUCGCUCACGCUGGGAGCUGUAGACCGGAGCUUAUUCGGCCAUCUUGGCUCCUCCGUUCCCUCUAUGAGUCCAACCAGGAUGGCGACUUGACUGGAUUUUACAGUUUCAUUGACACGCAUGAGCUCUAUCAAACUUCUGGGAGUUUUUCUGAAAUGUUUACAUGGAAGGCACCUGGAGCCCAUUGAAUUUCCCUCUUCAAAUGCUUAAGUUUUCUUCUGUCUUGGUGGCUACUGCCUCCUUCUCACUUUCUGCCUUAGGUCAAGAUAAAUGAGUUUUUCCCCAAGAAAGCCAUAUGGAUCUCUGAGGUUUUGAACUCUAACCAAUGCUAUCUCGUUGAUUGCCUUUGGAUUUCAGGGUCUUAUUUUACGUCAACCUCAGCCUCUCUCUUCUGCAGUUCCAUAUCCACAUGAGCUACAAGAGUCCCAUGUAGGUCCCUUCCUCUGCUAAUAGCUGCCUCAUUGUACUGCUUCUGUAUUCACUUCAGAGAUAGAGGAUCAAAUGGUAGAAACUUUUGGCAAACUUUUGACCAGAGAAUGGCUUACAUGGGAAUUAAUUAUGCACUUGUUCGUUUUACUCUAUAGAACAAUCCCAUCUGUAUUGGAUCUGUAUGUUCCAUCUCCCAUGUGAAAGAAGCACCCUACAAAGAUAACUUCAGUCUGGGCACAGUGGCUCACACCUGUAAUCCCAGAACUUUGGGAGCCUGAGUGGGGAGGAUCUUUUGAGCCCAGGAGUUCGAGACUAGUCUGGGCAACAAAGAGAGACCCUGUUUCUAAAACAAAAAUAAAAACAAAGAUAUCUUCCGAGCCUGUUCAGUCUUUGGUCCUGGUUUAGAUAUAGGUAUAUAGAGAGAGCUAUUUGAGUAAUCAAUUCCCAAUAUGGUAUGAUUUGAGCAUUUGGAGAGGUCUUCUUUACAUAUCAUAGUACUUAGAUUAUUACCAAUAAAUAUUUUUCUUUUGGGGUUAACAUUACAGUAAUAAUAUAUUUUGAAUCUAAAAUUUGGAUGGAGACACAGGACACAGAAUAUAUAAUGCUCAAAAAAUGUAAUGCUCAAUGAAUGUCUCUAUCAUAUUCUUUUUUGUUGUUGUUGUUGUUAUAUAGAUGAGGCCUUCCUAUAUUGUCCAGGCUGGUCUCAAACACCCAGCUUUGCCUCCUUAUGUGCCAGGAAAACAGGCCUGAGCCACCAAGACUCUCAAUAUAUUAUUAAAAUAUAAACAAAUUACUUGAAGUGGUACCCCUCAAAAUAAUGUCAUUUUCACUUUAAUGUAAAUUAGUCUUACUAUAAAAUCACUUUCCUGCUUUCAACAAGUUGCAAUGUAAGACGGGACAUUUUCUGAAAUGGAGAGAAGAUAAACAUGAAGUAAGAAGCUUUGUCCCCAGCAGGCUUUUCCUGGCAGAAAAUAUGGACAUCUGGGUGGUGUCAUAGUCAGGAGGCCAGGAGGAAGGAUUUGCCAAAAUGGGUAAACUGGGCAGUGCAUGAAAACUGGUGCCUUUGCUCCUAUGGGCCAUCAUCCUGUUGAUAGUGAGGUACCAAGAGAAGUGCUGAUGGUAAAGCCCUGUGUCCUCCCCAUCCAUGAUCUUGGCCGAAAGCAUUAACCUCCGAAGAGUCUCGGUGCUUUUAGAGACUUCCUGGUCUGAAGUGACUGCCUGUUGUGGACAAAAGCUGAAAACAAACAACAUAAAAACAAACUAAAAAGGUCAGUUACUCAAGGAUCUAGACAACUAGCCAACACCUCCACAAACAAAUGGGAGCUUAAUAGACUUUGCAAAAUUACUUUUUAUCCAGUUGUUUUUUUUUGCUUAUUUAAUAAAGUUGAAAAUACAAUGCAGU